GGUAUUUUGACCGUGCAAAGGUAGCAUAAUCAUUAGUUUUUUAAUUGAAAGCUGGAAUGAAAGGUUGGAUGAAAAAUAAGCUGUCUCUAUUUAAUUUUAUUAGAAUUUUAUUUUUAAGUAAAAAAGCUUAAAUUUUGGUAGAAGACGAGAAGACCCUAUAGAGUUUUAUUUAUUUUUUAAAUAAAAUUAAUAGUAUCAAUAAUUUUUAUUUAAUAGAUAAAUUUAGUUGGGGUGAUUAAAAAAUUUAAUAAACUUUUUUUGUAUAUAUACAUUGAUAUAUGAUUAAUUGAUCCUUAAUUUAAGAUUAAAAGAUAAAAUUACCUUAGGGAUAACAGCGUAAUUUUUUUUGAGAGUUCUAAUCGAAAGAAAAGAUUGCGACCUCGAUGUUGGAUUAAAAUAAAAUUUUGGUGUAGAAGCUAAAA
rnacentral:rRNA from 1 species